CAGCAGCCGCGGUAAGACAGAGGAUGCAAGCGUUAUCUGGAAUGAUUGGGCGUAAAGCGUGCGCAGGCGGUUUUGUAAGACAGGCGUGAAAUCCCCGGGCUCAACCUGGGAAUGGCGCUUGUGACUGCAAAGCUAGAGUGCGGCAGAGGGGGAUGGAAUUCCGCGUGUAGCAGUGAAAUGCGUAGAUAUGCGGAGGAACACCGAUGGCGAAGGCGACUCUCUGGUCUGUAACUGACGCUGAGGAGCGAAAGCGUGGGGAGCGAACAGGAUUAGAUACCCGAGUAGUCCCUGUCUCUUAUAC
rnacentral:rRNA from 1 species